rnacentral:lncRNA from 1 species
UACCUAAACCUAGACCUUAACCCUAUCUAACCCUAAACCCUACAUAAACAAAACCAUAAUCACUAAACCCUUCAUACUACCUAAACCCUAAACCUAUCAAAUCGUAAACUAACCCUAAACGUAAACCCUACCUAACCCUAAACCCUAUUUAACCCUAAACCCUACUAACCCUAAACCCUUCCUAACCCUAAAACCCUUCCUAACCCUAAAACCCUACCUAACCCUAAACCCUACUAACCCUAAACCCUACCUAACCCUAACCCUACAUAACUCUAAACCCUACUAACCCUACAUAACCUAAACCCUACCUAACCUAAAACCUUUCUAACCCUAAACCCUACUAACCCUAAACCCUACUAACCUUAAACCCUACUAACCCUAAACCCUACCUAACCCUAAACCCUACCUACCCUAAACCCUUUCUAACCCUAAACCCUACCUAACCCUAAACCUCUUCUAACCCUAAACCCUACCUAACCCUAAACCCUUUCUAGCCCUAAUUCCUACUAACCCUAAACCCUUCUAACCCUAAACCAUGCUAACCCUAAACCCUACCUAAUUCUAAACCCUACCUAACCCUAACCCUACAUAACCCUAAACCCUACUAACCCUAAACCCUACCUAACCGAAACGCUACCUAACCCUAAAACCAUUCUAACCCUAAACCCUUUCUAACCCUAAACCAUUCUAACCCUAAACCCUUUCUAACCCUAAACCCUACUAACUCUAAACCCUACUAACCCUAAACCCUAUUAACCCUAAACCCGACAUAACCCUAAACCCUACUAACCCUAAAACCUACCCAAUUCUAAACCCUACCUAACCCUAAACCCCAUGUAACCCUAAAACCUACCUAACCCUAAACCCUACUGAACCCUAAACCCUACCUAACCCUAAACCCUACCAACCCUAAACCCUACUUAACCCAAAACCCUACUAACCCUAAACCCUACCUAUCCUAAACCCUUUUUAACCCUAAACCCUACCUAACCCUAAACUCUUUCUAACCCUAAACCCUUC